UCCUGUGCUAGGGAUUCAAAAUUUUCUAUUGAAUGUUUAUCAAUAAGAAGAUACUAACAUCGCGAUUUUAUAGAAAAGAUAUAUCGUAUUUUUUUUAUUCAAUCUAAUUUUAUCAGUCAAGUCUUUUGGGUUCGUUGCUUUGCACCUCGAUCGGAGCCACAGACUCGCUAGCGAAUUCCAUGAAUAAAGAUGGUUGAGGGCUGCAA
rnacentral:lncRNA from 1 species